rnacentral:rRNA from 1 species
AUUGAACGCUAGCGGCAGGCUUAACACAUGCAAGUCGAGCGGGGGAAGGUAGCUUGCUACCGGACCUAGCGGCGGACGGGUGAGUAAUGCCUAGGAAUCUGCCUGGUAGUGGGGGACAACGUUUCGAAAGGAACGCUAAUACCGCAUACGUCCUACGGGAGAAAGCAGGGGACCUUCGGGCCUUGCGCUAUCAGAUGAGCCUAGGUCGGAUUAGCUAGUUGGUGGGGUAAUGGCUCACCAAGGCGACGAUCCGUAACUGGUCUGAGAGGAUGAUCAGUCACACUGGAACUGAGACACGGUCCAGACUCCUACGGGAGGCAGCAGUGGGGAAUAUUGGACAAUGGGCGAAAGCCUGAUCCAGCCAUGCCGCGUGUGUGAAGAAGGUCUUCGGAUUGUAAAGCACUUUAAGUUGGGAGGGAGGGCAGUAAGUUAAUACCUUGCUGUUUUGACGUUACCGACAGAAUAAGCACCGGCUAACUCUGUGCCAGCCGCCGCCGUAA